ACGAACGCUGGCGGCGUGCUUAACACAUGCAAGUCGAACGGAAAGGCCCUGCUUUUGUGGGGUGCUCGAGUGGCGAACGGGUGAGUAACACGUGAGUAACCUGCCCUUGACUUUGGGAUAACUUCAGGAAAUUGGGGCUAAUACCGGAUAGGAGCUCCUGCUGCAUGGUGGGGGUUGGAAAGUUUCGGCGGUUGGGGAUGGACUCGCGGCUUAUCAGCUUGUUGGUGGGGUAGUGGCUUACCAAGGCUUUGACGGGUAGCCGGCCUGAGAGGGUGACCGGCCACAUUGGGACUGAGAUACGGCCCAGACUCCUACGGGAGGCAGCAGUGGGGAAUAUUGCACAAUGGGCGGAAGCCUGAUGCAGCAACGCCGCGUGCGGGAUGACGGCCUUCGGGUUGUAAACCGCUUUCGCCUGUGACGAAGCGUGAGUGACGGUAAUGGGUAAAGAAGCACCGGCUAACUACGUG
rnacentral:rRNA from 1 species